rnacentral:misc_RNA from 1 species
UUGCUAUGUAACAAAUUCUUCUUUGUUCUCAGAAACUAUCACCUUAUACUUCAAUGUACAUGUCCUUUUGUACUGGUGCACUUACUGGUCUACAAUGCACAAGUUCAAACCAUUUCAGUUUCCAUUCUCUCGUAUUUUGCUCAAUAAGUGUCGACUUUAGCUUUGUAUGAAUGCAUUUAUUCAUUGAAUAAGAAAGAAACUGUUUUGCCCAAAAAUCCAAGGAAUUUUUUUUUUCUAAAUUAUAAACAGAUUCAAGUGAUACUUUGUUUAAAUAAAGAAAAUUUUUGUUUCAAGUGCACAAAGUUGGAGAAAAGUUAUCGUACACAAAGUAAAA